rnacentral:sRNA from 15 species
UGUAAACUUGCUCAGGGUGUGACCUGACGCAAACUUUAUUAAUGUUCUUAUUACUAUCUAGCAACAUAUAACAUUAUAUCUGACAACAUUACAAGUUUUGGCAACAUAAGAUUACAUAAAUAUCGAUAACAAUGUGAUUAAGCUCAGGUUAGCCCGCUCGGCCGAGUGGCUGCUGGUCCGGCCACCGAGGAUGCGUUGCCUGUGGAUUGGCUCGAUCAACCGAGUGGCUGCUGGUCCGGCCACCCGGGAUGCGUAUGGGUCUGGAGGAUGUUUUGACUUUUGAUGUGCGGAGAAUUUGGUAAGUAGUUUGAGUUGUGUAUUUGUUGAUUUUUGAGUUUUUUUU